rnacentral:rRNA from 1 species
UCUACGGGAGGCAGCAGUAGGGAAUAUUGCACAAUGGGCGGAAGCCUGAUGCAGCAACGCCGCGUGUGUGAAGAAGGUCUUCGGAUUGUAAAGCACUUUAAGUUGGGAGGAAGGGUUGUAGAUUAAUACUCUGCAGCUUUGACGUUACCGACAGAAUAAGCACCGGCUAACUCUGUGCCAGCAGCCGCGGUA